AAACCUCUUUUCUCAAGGAAGAAGAUAUGACGGUACUUGAGGAAUAAGCCACGGCUAAUUCCGUGCCAGCAGCCGCGGUAAUACGGGAGUGGCAAGCGUUAUCCGGAAUUAUUGGGCGUGAAGCGUCCGCAGGCGGCUUUUCAAGUCUGCUGUUAAAGCGUGGAGCUUAACUCCAUCAUGGCAGUGGAAACUGAAAGGCUUGAGUAUGGUAGGGGCAGAGGGAAUUCCCGGUGUAGCGGUGAGAUGCGUAGAUAUCGGGAAGAACACCAGUGGCGAAGGCGCUCUGCUGGGCCAUUACUGACGCUCAUGGACGAAAGCAUGGGUAGCGAACAGGAUUAGAUGCCCUGGUAGUCCAUGCAGU
rnacentral:rRNA from 1 species